rnacentral:rRNA from 1 species
UACGUAGGGGGCUAGCGUUGUCCGGAAUUAUUGGGCGUAAAGCGCGUGUAGGCGGUUCGAUAAGUCUGCUGUAAAAGUCGAGGGCUCAACCCUCGAAGGCCGGUGGAUACUGUCGGACUAGAGUACGGAAGAGGCGAGUGGAAUUCCUGGUGUAGCGGUGAAAUGCGCAGAUAUCAGGAGGAACACCAAUUGCGAAGGCAGCUCGCUGGGACGUUACUGACGCUGAGACGCGAAAGCGUGGGGAGCAAACAGGAUUAGAAACCCCCGUAGUCC